CAUAACCGCCUGCAGACAAUAGAGCACUGAGGAAUCAUGAGAUCUUGGCCUUGGGAUAACGACAGAGAAGAAGCGAUUUCUUCUGUUCAUUGCUGAUAAUGAGAUAUUCUUAACAAAAACUAUUAUCGAAUACUAAUGAUUAUGAUAAAAGAUGGACACAACAUCCAAAUAGGACCACUCUCAGCCUUCUGUUGGUUUGCUGUGGUUUCUACCCAAGAAAGAGCAAGAAGAACAAGAACAUCCUCAUGGGAAGUCUACCCCAACAUGUGCUCCAGCUUCCUCCUUCAUCUCAAAAGAUGUGCAAGUCAGUAGGUGACAGAACACUCCACUUGCCUGGAUAUCUGCAUCUCUAAUGAUAUUCUGACACUAGGGUCAAAGUCUGAAGGUAGAAGACUGAAUUUAGCGAGUCCAGACGUCAAGGCCCCUGGGCCGGUUAGUCCAUAAAUCAGAGGCCUGAUGUCCCUGGGCCUUGGAGUGGAGUCCUGGAGGUGAAGAUGUCUUGGGGUUGGAGGCCUGUCUUUCAGUGCAAGGGAGUAAAGGGGCUUGUUUUGUUGUCAUUUUGUGUUGUUCUGCUGAACAUUGUAGCCAUACUACGUUUGCACCGGAAUGUGUGCCAACACUUGCGGGCUGCCUCCAGCGCAUCCUUAGAUUUCGUUGGUUGCUAACACAAAUGAUGGAUUUCACUAUAUCUUUCAAUAUACAUGUGAUAAGUAUGUUAAUUUGAAUUAGAUCGACACAAUCCAGGUCUUGACUGGCACUCCACACUUUCAUCAUCUCCAUCACCACUGUGGAAGGGUACAGUAUACACCAUCAACACUCAGCUAACGAUCCCUCCGUGGAGUGAGUUAGGAGCACCAAGGUUCUGGGAGUGCACAAAACAAACAAUCUCACCUGGUCCCUCAACAUCACCUCUUUAGUCAAGAAAGCAUACCCCCCCCCCACCAUUCUAACCAAUUUUUACAGGAGCACCAUCGAGCAUCCUGAUCAGCUUUAUCACCGUCUGGUACAGGAAUUACAAGGCAUCUGACCACAAGAUCCUACAAAGGAUUAUGAACAUUGCUGAGAGGAUCAUCAGGGUCUCCCUUCCACCCAGAUAUUUAUCAGAAGAACUGCAUGCGCUGGGCCCUUAGCAUGGUCAAGGAUCCAUCCUAUCUCUUUGAUCCCCUACCAUCGGGCAGGAAGUACUGUAGCAUUAGGACAAGAACUGUUAAUAUGGGAAGCAGCUUCUUCCCCCAGGCCAUGAGACUACUGAACUCCCUGCCACCACCCAUAUCUCAUCACACAUGAAGUGCCAGUAGUGUUAUACUGUUUACUUUUUUUAAACUUGUGUCAUAAAUGCACCUUAUGCUAAAUGUCAAUCUUCUAGAAUACAUUUUAGUACUUGUUAAUUUAUGUGUUGCAAUAUUACUUUACAUGUUAUGUGUGAGUUACAUAAACUGUGUUGUGCACCUUGGUCCGGAAGAACGCCGUUUCAGAUUUUCACUCCAAUGAGUGUUUGUCAUCCAACUAUAUGCAAUAAGCUUGAAUUUGAACCUGAACUUGAACACUCCAGCAACAAAUAAUCUGAUGGCAGAAUGCAAUGGGUCACAGCCCUGAUGCAGGGUUUCAGCACGAAACAUCAACACAGAUGCUGCCUGACCUACUGUGUCCUCCAGCAGAUUGUUUGUUGUUCCAGAUUCCAGCACCUGCAGUCUGCUGUCUCUAAAACAUAUGACCUUUUCCACCUUGAAAAAGAGGAGAGCAGCAGGUGCCUGGUAACCUCUAACUGCAGGAUCAUCUUCAAAUCACACUCCAUGCUAACUUUGAAACAUAAUGCUAUAAAUAUUCAUCGUUUCCAGGUUUAAGAUCCUGCAUGUCCAGCAACACACAGACAUUGUUUAAGGCCAAUAAAUUUCAGCUACAUUACUGACAUCCACAUUCGGUAAAGGAAAGGAACAAACCAGAAGAAAUAAUAAGCAUAACGAAAAUGUCAAUAGCAGAUUAAAUUAACCUUCAUAACUUUGUCAUAGUGCAUUUACGAUACCAGGCUGUGCAUUCCAUCCCUCUUAAUUCAGCUCAAAAUUUUACACCCAAUAGCAGCACUAUUUAUUCUCACCAGCUGUUUUCAAAAGAUGUCCUGUUGCCUCAAAAGUCCUACUCGCCAGGUUCAAAACUGGACACUCGAGGCCUGUCCAGUCACAAAACAACCCAAUGAACAAGUACAAUUAAGCAUGGGGACCAAAUCAUAAAAUACACACCUUAAUGGGGUGGAAUUCUACAAAGAUACUUCGCAUGUCAUAAAUAUAUGAAGGGUUGUAUGCUGAAAAAUUUGCAUUCAUUCAGCUCUUGCAAAUAUUCCAAGCUGCUUCACAGAGGCUUAAUUAAACAAAAAAAAAGUCUCUCUCAAAUUAAAGGUGCAUUUUGUCAAACAUGAAAAUAAAAACCUUCGAACAUAGAACAGUACAGGCCCAACAGCCCAUGGGGGGGGGGGGGAAGAGAGGAGUUCCAGGAAUUAGACAGUGAUGAUGAAGGAUCAUAGACCUUUACAAAUUAGAACAGAGGGCUAUUUGGGGAAGGAAGAGGUCCUGUGGGUGGUGGUAUCCUCACACUCCUACCACACUUCUUAGGAAUAGAGGUCUUCGGUUUGGGAGGUGCUAUCACAAUUACCUGGGUGAGUAAUUGCAAUGCAUUAUGUAGAUAGUGCACACAACAGCCACUGUGUGCCUGUGGUGCAGAAAUGAAUGUCUAAGGUGGUGGAUGGAUUGGGUUGGUUUGUCCUGGAUGGCAUCGAGCAUCUUUACCCUUUUUGGAGCUGCACUCAUCAAGGCAAGUGGACAGGAUUUCAUCACACUCUGACUUGUGCCUUGUAGACUGUGAAAAGGGGGUGUCGAGAAGGGAGUCACUCAUUACACAAUGCCCACACUUUGAACUGCUCUCACAGGCAUAAUAUUUGUGUGGUUGGCCCCAUUGAGUUUCUGAUCAGUGGUGACCACAGGAUAUUUAGGGUGUGACAGUAGGUAAUGGUUGGAGUCAGGGCCUUGUGCUUUGGUCCUUUGUCACCCAUGCCAAAAACGUAAAAGGGUAGAGGCCAUACUAAGAGCGGCCCCCCAGUCGUCCAGGUUUGGGGGUUCAACUCAGGGCCAACGACCCUGACUGGUCAAAAAACAAUUCUUAUGGAAACAGCAAUGAAGAAUCCUUCCAUACAGACAAAUGGAGGAACUUCACUGCUGCCAAAAAAGAAACCCAAGCACCCAGAGGAAACCCAUGCAGUCAUGGAGAAAAUGUACAAACUCAAGAGACAUUGGCAGAAUUAAACUCAGGUCACUGGAACUGUAAUAGUGUUACACUGCAACGUUAUUGUGCCACACACAAACAUUACUUGCCAGCUAUCCCCCUUAAAUGUUGGUUUGGUCUUGCUGCACACAGAAUUGGGCUUCACUGACUCAGAAGCUGUGAAUGGGACUGAAUGUUGUUCUAUGACCAGUGAACAUCAUGUGAUGGAAGGAAGGUCGCAGAUAAAACGGCUUAAAAUGGUUGGUCCAAGGACACUGCCCCGAGGAACUCCUGCAGUUAAGUCCAGGGAUUAACAUAAUUGAGUUUUGUGCAAAGUAUUUCUCCAAGCAUUGGAAUCUUUUCUCCUUUAUACCCAUUGAUUUCAGUUUUACCAGGGCUCCUUGAUGCUACACUCAGUCAAAUCCUGUCUCAAGGUUAAGGGCAAUCAUUCUCAGCUCUGAAAUUAUGCUCUUUGGUCCAAGUUUGGACCAGGUCUAGAGCAAAGUGGCACUGGGACAGAUAUGCAGUUCACUGGCAUUAGGUGCUGCUUGAUAAUGCUACCAGUGACAUCUACCAUGAUGCUGAUGAUGAACAGUAGACUGAUUAGGCAGAGAUUAGCUAGAUUAAAUUGGUAGAACACAAGAGGAGCAGCAACUCAUCAGCCAAGGGAUGUGGUAGUCAAGAGGUAAAAGAGGUUCAGGAUUCGCAACACCAGGUUCAAGAAGAGCACAACCAUCAGGCUCUUGAACAAAGGGGUUAACUAUAUUCACUUACCCAUUCAUUGAGAUGUUCCCACAACCAAUGAUCUCACUUUGAGGACUAUUUUGUUAUUUCAUGUUCUUGUUAUUUAUUGCUAUUUAUUUAUAUUUGCAUUUGCACAGUUGUUGUCUUCUGCACUCUGGUUGAUCUUUCAUUGAUCCUGUUAUAGUUACUAGUCUAUAGAUUUGCUGAGUAUGCCCACAGGCGAAAGAAUCUCGUGUUAUAUGUGGUGACACAUGUACAUUGAUAAUAAAAUUGACUUUGAACUUUGAGGUUUGCUUGCCUGUGUUUGACCUGAUGCCACGAGACUACAUCGGACUUCCAGGGUCGGUGCAUCCAGUAUGCACGUACAGUGCUGUCUCAUUGGGUGGGUCAGCACAUGUUCAGGGAUUGUCAAAGAGGAGCCUGCUUUAUUGCCUUUAAGUUACAAUUUUGCAAGGGCGAUCCUGUCAGUCUGCUGGGUUGGUGGGACACCUUCCAAUUUCCUCACCAGUGCCCAGAUGCUGAAAGAGGAUCGUGCAAGAUUUUCUUGAGUUGGGAGUAUUUCACCAUGUCUCAAUUCAGCAUGGAGAAUCAUGUCAGAUGGCCUGUCUAAUUGUAUCCCUUCUCCAUUUCACAUUCGUGUUUAAGUAUACCCAAGUGUGAAACCGACAAUGAAGACGAUUAACAUCUGGCUGGAGGGUGCUGACUCUGCUCUUCAGCACCAAUUCCAGCACACAGACUGGAGCACGUUUGCUGCCCAUGCCACACAGACUCUCAGACUAACAUUGAUUUAUAUACCAACUCUGUCCUUGAGCACAUCAACAAGUGUGUAGACAGAGUGACAUCACAAAAACAAAUAAAAGUUUUCCCCAAUCAGAAACCAUGGAUGAACAGAGAAGUUCGCCUCCUGCUCAAAGCCAGAGAUUCAGCCUUCAGGUCUGGAGACCGGGAGGCUUACAGCUCAGCCAGGGCCAACCUGAGGAGGGGAAUCUCUCAGGAUAAACACAUAUACAAACAGAGAAUCAAGGAGCAUUUCAACUCCUCAGACCCCCAGCACAUGUGGCGUGGCAUACAGGUCAUUACAGACUUCAAACCACCUAGUACUGUGCCCCCUUCCAGCUCUGCUUCCCUCCCUGAUGAGCUCAAUUACUUCUACGCUCGCUUUGACCGAGAGAACAAGGAAGUCACCCUCAAAACGGAUCUCCCACCUGGUGAACCGCCUCUCUCACUUUCCACCUCCGAUGUUUACGCCACUCUGAGCAGGGUGAAUGUACGGAAGGCAGCUGGUCCAGAUGGAAUACCUGGCCGUGUGCUCAGAGUCUGUGCAGGGCAGUUGGCCGGGGUCUUCACGGACAUUUUUAAUCUGUCCCUGGCCCAGGCAGUGGUCCCCAGGAGCUUCAAGAUCGCCACCAUUGUGCCAGUGCCGAAGCAUUCCACUGCCACGGGUCUGAAUGACUUCCGCCCAGUUGCACUCACCCCCAUCAUUGCAAAGUGCCUUAAGAGACUGGUUCUAUCACAUCUGAAAUUCUGUCUGCCCACUACCCUGGACCCCCAUCAAUUUGCCUAUCGCACCAACAGGUAAACAGAGGACGCCAUCUCCACGGCACUUCACUCUGCCCUGACCCACCUGGACAGCCCCAACCCUUACGUCAGAAUGCUGUUCAUUGACUUUUAGUUCAGCAUUCAAUACUGUGAUCCCCUCCAAGCUGAUCACCAAACUUCGCCAGCUUGGUAUCAGCUCAUCCCUCUGCAAUUGGACCUUGGAGUUUCUGACUAACAGACCCCAAUCAGUUAAGUUAGACAACCUCUCCUCCUCUACUCUCACCCUGAACACCGGCGUGCCUCAAGGCUGUGUGCUGAGCCCUCUUCUGUACUCCCUUUUCACCUAUGACUGCGUUCCUGUACAUGGUUCUAACUCCAUAAUCAAGUUCGCAGACGACACCACGGUGGUUGGCCUGAUCAGAGGGGAUGACGAGGCCGCCUACAGGGACGAGGUCCAGCACCUGGCCGCAUGGUGUGCCGACAACAACCUGGCCCUUAACACCCAGAAGACCAAGGAGGUCAUUGUGGACUUCAGGCAUGCUAGGAGCCACACUCACGUUCCCAUCUACAUCAACGGAACUGUAGUGGAGCAUGUAUCAAGCUUCAAAUUCCUUGGUGUCCACAUUUCUGUGGAUCUCACCUGAUCCCUGAACUCCUCCAUCCUGAUCAAAAAGGCGCAAUAGUGCCUUUAUUUCCUGCGGAGCAUCAGGAAAGCUCACCUCUGUCCCAGGAUACUGACGGACUUUUACCGCUGUACCAUUGAGAGCGUACUCACCAAAUGCAUCUCAGUGUGGUAUGGCAAUUGGCCCGUAUAAGACCGCAAAGCACUCCAGCGAGUGGUGAAAACUGCCCAGUGGAUUAUCGGCACCCAAUUGCCCACUAUUGAGAACAUCUACCAUAAGCACUGCCUGGGCAGGGCGAAAAGCAUUAUCAAGGAUGCGUCUCACCCUAAUCAUGGACUUUUUACUCUCCUCCCAUCCGGUAGGCGCUACAGGAGCUUCCGCUCCCACACCAGCAGGCACAGGAAGAGCUUCUUCCCUGAGGUUGUGACCCCUGCUGAACCUCACAUCACAGCGCUAAGCAGUAUUGCACCCAUAUUGGACUGUCUCAGUAUUUUUAUAUUUGUGUGCUGUAGCACUUACUUUUUAUUCACAGUUAUUUGGUAAAUAACACUAUUCUUUGCAUUUCCGGUUAGAUGCUAACUGCAUUUCAUUGGCUUUGUAUCUGUACUCGGCACAAUGACAAUAAAGUUGAAUCUAAUCUAAUUUAAGAAUCACAGAGAAGUCACAUAUUGGCUGAACCAGGUAAGGUUGAUACUGAUGUCAACAGAAUUACCCAUUGAUGACUUUUCUCCUUAUUAACAAUGGAACUUUAAUUCCACAGGUGCCGUGGUAGGAUUCAAACUUAGGCCUCCAGAUUGUUGGCCCAGGACUCUUGAUUUAUUCAUCCAAUAACAAAACUGUAAUCCCUACCUAGAGAACACAGAACAGUAUAGCACAGGAACAGGCCCUUUGGUACACAAUGUUGUGCUGAACCAGCUAAAAAGCAAAUCAAAAACACCCAAACACUAAUCCUUCCUACCUACACCAAGUCCAUAUCCCUCCAUCUUCCUCAUAUUCAUGUGCAUAUCUAAAUGUUUCUUAAAUGCCUCAAUGCAUUUGCCUCUAACACCACACCAGGCAGCACAUUCCAGGCAUCCACCACUGAGUAAAAAAACAACUUACCCCUCACAUCUCCCUUUGAACCUACCCCGUCUCACCUUCAAUGCAUGCCCUCUGGUAUUAGACACUUCUACCCUGGGAAACAGAUACUCUCAAGUCCAUUCCAUCUAUGCCCCUCACAAUCUUGUAAACCUCUCUCAGAUCUCCCCUCAGCCUCCGUCACUCCAGAGAAAACAACCCAAGCUUAUUUAACCUCUCAUGAUAGCAAUUGCCCUCUAAACCAGGCAGCGUCUUAGUAAACCUCUUCUACACCCUCUCCAAAUCCUCAACAUCUUUUCUGUAGUGAGGCAACCAGAACUGUAUGCAAUAUUCCAGAUGUGGCCUAACCAGAGUUUUAUAAAUUUGCAACAUAACCUCUUGACUUUUGAACUCAGUGCCUUGACUAACAAAAGCAAGCAUUCCACAAGCCUUCUGAACCACCUUAUUGACCUGUGUAGCCACUUUCAAGGAGCUACAAACUUGGAUCCCAGGAUCUCUCUGCUCAGCAACACUUAAGGAUCUUGCCCUUAACAGUGUACUGUCUCCUUGCAUUGGCCCUACCAAGGUGCAAGAGCUCACAUUUAUCUGGGUUAAACUCCAUCUGCCAUUUCUCUGCCCAUAUCGGCAACUGAUCUAUAUUGUGCUCUAUUCUUUGCCAGUUUUCUACGCUAUCCACAAUUCCACCAAUCUUGGUACCUCAUCCACUAAUUUACUAACCCACCCAUCUACAUUUUCAUCCAGGUCAUUUAUAUACAUCACAAACAGCAGAGGUUCCAGCACAGAUCCCCGAGGCACACCACUAAGUUCAGACCUCCAGCUCAAAAAAGUCCUUUCAACCACUAUCCUCUGGCUUCCAUGUGCAAGCCAGUUCUGAAUCCAAACAGCCAAUUCGCCGUAGACCCGGUGCACCUUAAUCUUCUGGAUUAGCCUCCAUUGAGGGACUUUGUCAAACUCCUUAUUAAAAUCCAGGUAGACAACAUCCACUGUCCUACCCUCAUCAAUCUCUUUGUCACCUUAUCAAAAACUCAAUCAAGUUGGUAAGACACAAACUGCCCCACACAAAGCUGGCUCUCCCUAAUUAGGCCAUGGAUUUCCAAUCUCAAAGAAUUUUCUCCAGCAAUUUUCCUAUAACUGACAAGAGACUCACCGGUCUAGUUUCCAGGAUUUUCCCUUAUUCCCUCCUUAAAUAGAGGUACAUUAGCCACUUGCCAGUCCUCCAGGACUUUGCCUGUGGCUAGACAGGACACUAAGAUAUUGGUUAAGGGCCCAGCAAUCUCGUCUCUGCCUCCUUCAAUAACCUGGGGUAAAUCUCAUCAGGCCCUGGGGACUUGCCCACCUUAAUAUUAGGAGGCCCAACACUUCCUUCUCCUUGACAUCUAAACGUCUAAUGUAUUUAUACACUCACUGAUCUCCUGGUCCUCCAUAUCCUUUUUCUUGGUAAAUACUGAAACACUCAUUUUCAUACGAGUACCCCACUCAUAUUCUCUGCAUCCAAGCAAAUGUCCCCCCAUUUAUCCUUGAGUGGUCCCACACUCUCCCUAGUUAUCUCCUUACUCUUGCUGCAUGUAUAGAAUGUCUUGGGAUUUACCUUAAACCACUUUUCAUGGCCUCUCCUGGCUUUCUUAAUUCCCUUUAGUUCUUUUCUGGCUUCUUUAUAAUCUUCAUGUGCUCUGUUUGAUCCUAAUUUCUGAGGCUUUACAUACUUUUCCUUUUUCUUCUUGACUAAAUUCAUCACAUCUCUGGACAUCUAAGGUUCUCUUAUCUUUCCAUCCUUCCUUCUAACAGGAACAUACCUUUCCUGUACUCUGUGGAAUUGAUCUUUAAACACCCUCCACAUCUUAUGUAAAAUUGAGUCCUCCCUGAUGGAUUUUGCUCAAUACCACAUUCACUCAGAAGCCUCAAUGACCUAAAUGGAAGUCACAGCAUCUGUGAACUCUCUUGGCUUCUUCUGGUACAAACAAAACUCAUGAUGAUUCCCUCACCUCUUAUUUUACUUUCUUGCAAUUUAGUGUAAAGAAAAUGAUACAUUCUUUGGUUACAUUAAAUAGUUAAGGUUGAUGCUUUGAUAAGGGUAAAUUACAAACUGAAUUCAAAUUUCAUAUCUCUGCUAAAUAUCGCACUUUCACCUGUGUGGAAGUUACAAAUUUCCUUGCAGAUUCAUCCAAAAUCUUAAAGAACUAACACAGGCAAUCUGCGCUGUGUUGACUUGUUGCAGCUUGCUGGCUUCCAAACAGCAAGCAUGCUGGUCCUGACACACCUAACAGAUUUGGAAAGUGUGCUGUUGUAAGUUACUGGGCAGGGUUACGCCUGGGUUUUCCACUGCCAGGAGGUAGAUUUAGGUUUUUGUGCUGCACACGUCACGUGGCAUUUUCAUUGCUCUGGAAUGUAACAGCCAGCAUUCGAAAGAUAGACCGCGCUCCACCUUGCUACUCUACCAUACUCAAGCAAUGAUGUUGCAAUAUUCAGCAAUCCUUUCCUUAAUACUUCCUCUUCAACGUUUGUCCUCCCCCCUUUCUCUGUCCGAUUCAUCAAUACACUCAUUCAACUACAAUUUUCAGUUCUAGAAGGAAAUAGACAGGUGACAUUUCAGGAGUACCAACAGAAUUGCUGGACUUUGAAAUGUUUAUACUGGGUGUGGAUUUAUACAAAAUUAUGAUCUCACUCACAUCAUCUGGACCUGGAACCAGAGAAGGCAAAGCAUGCCCACAUAAGGAGAAAAUGAAGAGCCACAAGAAACAUUGUUUAAAAAGUGAACAAGACAGGCACUGGCAGAGAUUCUUAUCCACAUGUUGCAAAUACUUGGCGUCACAGCCUCCGGGGAAUCAUGAAUUGUUCCACUCUUGUCAUCAGUAGCAACAGAAACAAUAGUGUUUCAUGUUGUAUGCCUUCUAUCCUUAUAUUUCCUAAUUAAUUCUGGCCUCAAAUUCUCUAGCACAUUAGAAGCAGACUUGAAAAUCCUUCACAAUUGUUAUUUGCUUCGGAAUGCCAAGCAGCUCUUAGAUUCUACAGAUAAUUUAAUCAAAGUGAUUUUUUCCAUAUUUUGAAGUAGCAAUUCUGGCCCCUUUUCAGACACAAAAAUCCAAUCCCAAAAAGAUUGCUUACCAACUUUUAAAGGACCUUUCCACUUGCAGGACUACUAAGAACAGCAUUCAAAGCAGCAGCAUUUUUACUGUAACUGCUUCCUAGAGAAUUACAAUUCAUGUGGGCCAAAGGGCCUGUACUGUGCUGUACUGUACUAUUUUAUGUUCUAUUAAGGAAAUAUUUGCAUGACACCAAUGUUCUCACUCCAUGGAGAAUCUGUGAUUGGUCACACGAGUUCAAGAAUAAUGAUCUCUUAAAGUACUUGGAAAUCACAUGACCUCCAAGUUCAAAGUAAAUUAUCAAAACAUACUGUAUAUACAUCAUCAAAAUGCUUAUUCUGAGAUUCAUUUUCUUGCAGACAUUUAUAGGAAAAAUACAGAAUUUAAGAAAAACUAUAAACAAUGAUUGACAAAAACCAAUGUGCAAUAGAAGGUGAAAUGUGCAGAAAAAGAAUAACACGAGUUGUAAAGAAUCCUUAAAAUUGAGUCUGUAGUCUGUAAAAUCAUUUCAGAGUAGUGGUGAUUUAAGUUAUCCAUACUGAAUCAGGAGCCUAAUGGUGGUUCCUGAACUUGGUGGUGUGGGACCAAAGACCUUUAAGAUAUAGGAGCAGAAUUAGGCUAUUCAGUCCAUUGAGUCUGCUGUGUCAUUCCAUCAUGGCAGAUCCAUGUUUCUCUCAACCCCAUUCUCCUGCCUUCUACCCUGUAACCUUUCACACCCUGACUAAUCUAUCAACCUCCACCUUAAAUACACAUAAUGACCUGACCUCCACAGCCACCUGUGGCAAUGAAUUCCACAGAUUCUCUAUCCUCUAGCUAAGGAAACUCCACCUCAUCUCUGUUCUAAAUGGAUGUCCCUCUAUUCUGAGGCUGUGCCCUCUGGUCCUAGACUCCCCCACUAUAGGAAACAUCCUCUCCACAUCCACUCUAUCUACACCUUUCAACAUUCAAUAGCUUUCAAUGAGAUUACCCCCCCCUCCCCAUUCUUCUAAAUUCCAAUGAGCACAGGCCCAAAGCCAUCAAAAGCUCUUCAUGUGAUAACCCUUUCAAUCCCGGAAUCAUUUUCAUGAAUCUCCUCUCAAAUAUCAACACAUCCUUUUUUAAAAAAAAGAUAAGGGGCCCAAAACUAUUCACAAUACUCUAAGUGAGGCCUCACCAGUCCCUUAUAAAGUCUCAGGAUUACAUCCUUGCUUUUAUAUUCUAGUCCUCUUGAAAUGAAUGCUAACAUUGCAUUUGCUGCAAAGGCUUCUGUACUUCCUACCCAAUAGUAGUCAUGAGAAGAGAGCAUGACCUGGAUGGUGGGGGUCUUUUAAGAUGGAUGCUGCUUUCCUGCAUCAGUGCUCCAUGUAAAUAUACUCAAUGACGGACUGGGCUGUAUCCACCACUUUCUAUAGACUUUUCCAUUCCUGUGCAUUGGUGUUUCCAUACUAGGCUGUGAUGCAACUUGUUUGGAUACUGUCUAUUAUGCAUCUAUAGUAGUUUGUCUGAGAUUUUGCUGACAUGCCUGUUCACAAGUGAAGCAAAAUAUUAAGUGAUUUAACAUUCCAGUGAAGUGCUGUAUUGCAAGCUCUGGGGUUGUGUUAAAAUUAUCCUUUGGCGCCUCCAAGCAGCUUUUAAUGACAAACAAAAAUCCACUCCACUUUAGUCACCCCUUCUUAUGUAAGUAAAGCACAUCCUCCACAAUUUUCUCACUUGGUAUGGAUUUCUUUUUUUAAAAAAGGCUGGGAGGGGAGAAAAAGAGAUAACCCACUGAUACAGCAAAUGACAGCUCCUGGGGAAGUGUCAGGAACCCAGUUCCAGCAAUUAAUACUACCAAAGCAUAGCAGGAAUAGAGCCAUAAUAGGUCAUGUGAAGUGAGGAAAAUCCAAUACAGUAGCUCUAAGCCACAUCUGUGUUUACAUAGCUGCCAAUAAGCCACCAAUUUCUCUACUUUCCUGUCACAUUUGAACCUCUGGAGUCUAUCACUUCUCAUCAGGUAUGAGUUUUAUUUUCUAAAAUUCUUCUAAAUUUAAUGCUCCUGCCCCUGCUCCUUAACAAUUGUUCUACAGCCACAAUACAUGAAAAUACACUCUCAAAUUCCAGUGUCCAUGAUGUAUGCACAUGUAACUGAUUUUGGAAAGGGACCUGAAUAUAUGCACACAUUCUUAAUGAUUAUUGGGGGUAGGGCUGCCUCUCUGUUACCCAGCACACGUCCCUGCACUGUGAAUAAUGUGUAGCAUUGCUUAAGGGUGAACAUGGGAUCUGAUUUCAGCAAAUGGUGGCUGAUGUGUACUUGGUUUAAAGAUUAACAACUUUCAAUGUGUAAUAUCCCGGUUAAGAUUCCCACUGCUACACUGUGAGGUAGUUUAUAUCAGCAGUUUUCUGCAAAAGCAGUGUGCCAUGCUGGAAAGAGGACUAAGAUGAGGACUCACGUUGUCCAGCUGAGGAAUGUGUGUCACCCAAUCAGGAUUGUAGGAUGUGAGAGAAGGUUCCAGAGAGCUGUGGGGAAGAGGUUUCUGAAGGACAGUAGUCUGGCUUGGGGUCUUUUGGUGGAAGCUGUGGAUUGGGACAGAAGGGAAGAUGCUGCAGAAUACCAUUGGAAGGAGAGUCCCUGUUGCAUGAAGUGCUUUGUGCAGAUGAAUGGCUCCAAGGAGGAAAGGCCAUUACUCCUGAUAGUGCCAGUUCGUUCGAGAUGGUCUUCGAGGGCAGUUUAAAAAUGUGGUGGGUGCUUUCAUGCAGAUGGUGGGUCCAGCACGUGAGUAAGAGAUACACCCCCUGAAUACUCCAGCAUGAGAUCCAACAGUUAUCUGCACAUUGGACUGGUUCAACUCUAAUAGGCCCUUUUCUUUUCCCUAUUAACUGAUAAAGCUGAAAUUGGUAAAUCUACUUUCUUUAUAAUUUUAUGCGGUGUACAAUCUGUUAUUUCUUGCCGACAGAUAAUUGUGUACAGGCAGUAUUUACACAGCAUUCACUCAAAUCAAAGUUUCUUUAAUCAGAACAUCAUAACAUUCCUAGGAAAAGAGUACAGUCGACAUUUAGGGCUGAGACCCUUCAGUCCUGCUGAAGGGUCUUGGCCCAAAACAUUGCCUGUACUCUUCUCCCAUAGAUGCUGCCUGGCCUGCUGAGUUCCUGCAGCAUUUUGUGUGUGUUGCUUGGAUUUCCGGCAUCUGCAGAUUUUCUUUUGUUCACGACAUUCCCGUUUGGUUGAACCCCAACUAUACUAACCCUAGAUGUGUAUUGUUUGUGAAAGGUGGAUUUUCACCACUGAGUUACGUUAUUGUUAGCCCAGUUGGCUAUCAAGGCAAGUUUGCAAACAAGUCCAGUGAGGGGAUUAUAAAUGAAUAACAAGGGAAUAAACCCAAGUACAAAAUGUAACGUAAGGAAUUCAAAAACCACGAAGGCCAUUUCACCCUACAUAAGCACAAGCAACCAGAUAACCUUAUAGUCCACUAUAAGAAUAAUGAAUCAUUUUUAAAAAAAAACUGAUUCUAGGGUUUUGCCUCCACUGAUACCGGGAAAAAUUGAGCUCAAAAUACAGAGACUUCAAGAAAUGGCAUCCAAACACUCAUGAGUCAAGUCACCUAGAAGUAAUGCCUUUUGAGGCCCCUACAUCAGUUAGUUGACAAUAUCCUCCUUUGAUGGAGAAUGGGGUUUCCCUUCCUCCACAAUUGAUGUUGCCCUCACCCACAUCUCCUGGACAUCUGUGCUCACCUCAUCUUCCAGGCACCUUAACAGGGAUAGAGUUCCUCUUGUCCUCCCUCCCUCACCUAUCACCCCAUGAGUCUCCAAAUCCAACACAUCAUUCUCCAUAGCUUCCACCAUCUUCAAUGAGAUCCUUCCACCAAACAUAUCUUUUCCUGCCCCCCUCACAACUCCCUACUUUACACAGGGAUUGCUCCCCGUGAUUCCCUUGACCAUUCAUCCCUCCUCACUAGUCUCCCCUUUGCACUUAUCUCCUUCAUCACCUCCAUUCAGAGCUCCAAACAGUCCUUCCAGGUGAGGCAAGACUUCACCUGUGAAUCUGCUGGGUUCGUCUACUGCAUCUGGUGCUCCUGAUGUAGCCUCCUCUACAUUAGUGAGACCCAACAUAUACUGGGGGAUUCCUUUGCCGAGCACCUUCGAUCCAUCUGCAAAAAGUAGGACUUCUCAGUGGCCAACCAUUUUAAUUCCAUCCCCAUUCUGACGGGGCCACUCUCAGGUUGAAGGAGCAGCACCCUAUAUUUUGUCUGGGUAGCCUCCAACCUGAUGGCAUAAGCAUUGAUUUCUCCAAUUUCCUCUGGCCUCUUACAUCUUCCUCCUCACUUGCCCAUCACCUCCUCCGGUGCCCCCUUCUCCUUCCCUUUCUCACAUGGUGGACUCUCCUCUCCUGUCAGAUUCCUUCUUCUCCAGCCCUUUACCUUCCCCACCUAUCACCAUCCAGCUUCUCACUUCAUCCCCUCUCCUUCACUCACCUGGCUUCACCUUCUAGCUCAGUGGUUCUGAACCACAUUCUACUUGUGGCCCACGUGUGACUUUCAUUUACCUCUGUGGACCCCACCCUCCACAGUCUCUGUUAGUUGCUGAAGUUUUUUGUUUGGUCAACUGUUCUAAUUAUUCUUAUAUAUAGUCAAUAUUUAACAGGUUAUAGGUUGUUUUAAAAAAAGGCAUCCAUUAGUCUCGUGAGACCAUGGAUUUGCGCCUUGGAAAGUUUUUCCAGGGCGCAGGCCUGGGCAAGGUUGUAUGGAAGACUGGCAGUUGCCCAUGCUGCAAGUCCCCCCUCUCCACGCCACCGAUGUUGUCCAAGGGAAGGGCACUAGGGCCGAUACAGCUUGGCACCAGUGUCAUCGCAGAGCAAUGUGUGGUUAAGUGCCUUGCUCAAGGACACAACAUGCUGCCUCAGCUGAGGCUCGAACUAGUGACCUUCAGAUCACUAGACUGAUGCCUUAACCACUUGGCCAUGCACAAACACUAAUAGGUAUUACAUGAUAAAUAUAAUGUUACAGGUAUCUGUGAAAAAUAAAGCUAUUCUAAAGCUCUGAAUAAGAUUAUUUAUAAUAUAAUAUUCUUCCAACCAGCAAUGAACAAGUGCUUAAUAUUGCUACUUAGGGUAUUUAGUGAGAUCCUUGUGACUGAUGCAAACUAGUGAGUUUUUGAAUAUCUGGUUGCAACUUGGUUAAAGAUUAUUGAAGGUCACCUCUUUUCAGAGCAUAAAGAUGGUUACGAGCUUUUGAUAGUGGGUGACGAGCUUGACUAAAACCACAUUGCACUCCCACACACACCAAGCUAAGCUGGUUUGUUGCCUUAUUUGCAUCAUCUAGCAUAUUUUACUAUUCAUUUCAUUCAGGGUUCCAAUUAAAUUACAUAUUUCUUCUGGUUUAUAUAUUUUAGUCAUAUUUCAUUAAAACAGCAAACUUACCAUGGGCCAUUCUGAAACUCCUGUGGCCCUCAGUUUCUUGUUUUUUUUAAUUUGUGGCCCCUUGGGGGUUGGGGGAGGGGUCAUUUGGCCCAUGUUGUGAAUCACUGUUCUGGCUUGUACAUCCUUCCCCUCCUUCCACCUUCUUAUUCUGGGUUUGACCCCCUUCUUUUCAAGUCCUGAAGGGUCUUGGUCUGAAAUGUCAACUGUUUAUUCAUUUCCAUAGACUCAGCUUGACCUGCUGAGUUCCUCCAGCACUUUGUGCAUGUUGCUCUGGAUUUCCAGCAUCUGCAGAAUCGCUUGUAUUUCAUACAAAGUUGUUCUUUAAAAUCUUAGCAGAUUUCCAAGUGGAAUGGCCAUAUAUGACGUUUGCACUUAAGAAAUUUGGAUUUGGACCAUCUUUCAUUAAAUGGAUUGAGAUAAUUUAUUCACAUCCAUCUGCUUCUAUAUCACUAAUCAGAAUAUUUCCACCCCUUUUGCAAUUCAUUGUGGGACUCAUCAAGGCCCUUUCUCUGUUUUUGUUUGUAGUUAUCAUUGAGCCACUGGCUGUUAGACAGGACCCUUUGAUAUCUCCCAUUGAUAUGCAUGGACAUAAACAUCAUCUUUCGUUAUACGCUGACGAUAUCCUUUUAUCUCCAGCCCACAAACAUCAAUACCCGCCCUUCUGACUCUAGUUAAUAAUUUUGGCAGUUUCUCAGGUUUCUCUAUUAAUUGGGAUAAGAGUGAACUAAUUGCCAGUCACUGCAGUGGUUAAUACGGCGUAUUUACAGUCCAUUCCCUUUAAAAUAACUUGGGAUAAUUUUUCCUAUCUUGGUGUGACUAUUACAAAAAACCCAGAUGACCUUUUGCAAGUGAAUUGGCGAAACAAGGUUGAGCAGGUUAAAUGCAAUACUGACUUUUGGAAAACCCUUCCAAUUUUUUUGGUGGGGAGGGUUAAUGCAAUCAAGAUGAUUGUACUGCCACAAUUUCUUCAUCUUUUCCAGUCAAUUCCAUGUUUUAUUCCUCUCUCAUAUUUUAAGCAAUUGGAUUCAAUUAUUAUACCCUUCAUUUGGAAUUAUAAAGCUAUUAGAAUUACUAAAAAACACUUAUCAAAGCACAAGGAAGCAGGUGGUUUUGCCCUACCAGACGUUAAAAUGUAUUACUGGGCUGCCCACCUAUCCAUUCUUACAUGGUGGAAAAAAGGCCCACCCUCUACCUCAGACUCGUGCCCAGCAUGGUUACUCGUAGAGCGAGUGCUUUGUAAGAAGACUUCCUUACCAGCUCUCCUUAAUAGCCCCACUGCAGUUAAUAAGUCACAUUUUAGUAACAGCUUCGUGGUUGGCAGCACCAUAAGAAUUUGGAAGCAGAUUCAACUACACAUUAAGGCCCCAAAAACUUGUAUUAACACUCUGACUUGUGACAAUCAUUCCUUUUUGCCUGGCCUGAAUGAUACUGUUUUUUUUAACCUGGAAACAGAGAGGCAUCUGUAGUGUAGGUAACCUAUAUAUUAAAGGAAACUUUGCCUCAUUUGCGCAGUUACAAGCAGUUUACAAUAUCCUUGCAUCUAGUUUUUUUUAGAUAUUUACAAAUUCUAGAUUAUGUUAGAAAAUAUAUACUUAACUUUGAAGUUUUAGACAAACAUGAGUCCCUGGAGGCAAUAAAUAAAUUUGAUCCUGUUACUCGUAGUGCGGUAUCCUAUUUUUAUCAGAUCCUACAUAACGGAGCUCGGGUGAAUACUGCAGGUCUUAAACAGGCAUGCGUGGAUGAAUUGGGUAUAGACUGACAGAGGAGGUCUGGAAUGAGUGUUUAAAGAGUAUACAUGAUUGUUCGGUCAAUGUCAGACACAGACUUAUACAGUUUAAAACAAUACAUAGACUUCACUAUUCCAAAGAAAAGUUGCACAGCUUCUACCCUGAUGUUUCACCAGAUUGUAAUAGAUGUAAAUCUGUGAACAGUAACUUGUCACAUUCAUUCUGGUCAUGUUGUAAGCUUUAUACAUACUGGAAAAGUAUUUUUCACUGUUUCUCUAAGCUUUUGGGAAGCAGUAGGAACCAGACCCGCUUAUAGCCAUCCUUGCAGCAACAAGCUCCCUAUCUUCAGCCAAUAAGUAUGAGAAAAAAAAGGCUGUAUUGUUUGGCAUGGUGAUUGCUAAGAAGUUAAUCCUGCAAAUGUGGAAAAUGGACUCUGUGCCUACGUACGAUCUGUGGCUGAGAGAACUGGCAAAUACUUUACAUUUGGAGAGACUGAGACUAUGUAAUGAGGACAGAGGGAACAUCUUUGAAAGGAUAUGGGGCCCUGUAUUGGAUUUUCUCACGGGGUGAGGACUGAGGUUUUUUGGUGCAGUGCACCUCUGCUAUGUUUACUUUUGCCUUUAUAUUUUUCUCCCUUUUGCUGCUCAAUAUUUAAUUAGAUUGUUAAGGUCAUGGUUUUUGUAGAUGUGCUUUUUUUUGUUUGUAAUAAAAAGAUAAAAAGAAUAUUUUUAAAAAUCUUAGCAGAUUUGACUAAAUCAGGAAGAACCACUUCCUCUAGUUGCAGAGUCAGUGGAGACGGUUGUCAAUUUAAGUUUGCUACUGAACUUAGGGAGAGGAAUGGCAAACGUCUCCGUUCAACAUUGAACAAUUUAUUACAGGAAGUGGUUGAGAUACAUUGACUAAAAUUGGAUACAAAACAAUGGUGAGAAAUAUGAUUAAUUUAUGAUUGUUCUUGGAAGAGAACACAUGUAAUUAGUCAAAUGGUUUUGUGCUGUUAAUUUACAUUAAGGGCAGGGCAAGGAUGUUACAAUCGACUUCUAGCCUUCCAAGCUGGAGAAGGAUAAACUCAGGCAGCCCUAGCUCAAGCUCCUAAAUGCCAUCCAAGUAUGGAUGUUGGGAUAAAGUCCAACAGAAAGUUUUUGGCUUUGUCCCAAUUCCUCCAGAAUGGUGAAGAAUCUAGUCUUCCCAGCAAGAGUCAAUACAUGCAAAAGAUCAUUAAUGAGAACGUCACACUGGGAUAAACAGAUACAUGUCACAUGAUUGGCUUUCACAGCUUAAUACUGCCAUCAUCACACCCCAGACUGCUUGUCCAACAUCCUCCAACUAAACAUUGCACACUUGUCACAAAUUUUGUUGGUCACUAAUUCCAUCUUUUUAGCCAUGUGGCUAACACAGCCCUCUGGUAAUGAAUUUCACAAGUUCACCACCCUCUGAGUUUCUCCUCAUCUCAGUCCUAAACCACUUGCCCCGUAUCCUGAGACUGUAGUCCCUUCUUCUAAGCAUCCGACCCCAAGGGGAAACGUCCUCCCUACAUCCAUUUUGUUGGGCCAUUCGGAAUACAGUGAAUUUCAAUUAGAUCUCCUCUAAACUCCAAUGCCUGGUCAACCCAUCCCUUCUCGUGAAUCAGUCCCAACUUUCCAGGAAUUUGUCUGGUGAAAUUUGCUCCACUUUAGAGUAUAUAUUUUCUUGAGUAAGCCUGCUUGGUGUCCAAUUCUCCAGGUGUGGUUAUACCGCGGCUCUGUAUAAUUGCGUAAUACAUUUUGCUCCUGUAUUCACAACCUACAGCAACGAAGGCCAGCACAUCAUUUGCCUUAACUGAUUGCUGUUCAAACUCAAAGCUCCUUGUUGUGUUAAAAAUGUACUAAAUACAAAGUGCUGUUUCCUUUAGGAAGCACGAUUAACUGAAUUGAAUUUCUAUUCUGUGAAUUUAGAUGAUUAGGUGGAGUCCAAACUAGAUUAAAGGUAGGAGGUUGUUGGGUGUGUCUGUAGUUAGACAAACAAGGGAAAAGGAAAUUCCGACUCGAAACUCUUGAUGUCGUAUCACGCCUACAAAAUCAUUUCUAGCUACAUGUCUUGGGCUUCAAUCAUACCGUGGUAUGUAACGCAGAAUAAUUCUGAAGUUAAAGGAAAUCUGGUUCCUGUUUUGUAUGUUGUUUUGUAUGGUUCGCCUCGGGUGACUUCACAUUGGGGCAUAGUAUAAUUGAGGGAUAUAUGUGGUAACCCAGAGCCGAUUUGACGAAAACGUAAUUUCGGACUUUACAUAAAAACCAAGGUAUUGCAUCGCAAAAUACAACGUUGUUUAAAAAAAGUACUUAAGAGAAGGA